rnacentral:rRNA from 1 species
AGAACGAACGCUGGCGGCAGGCUUAACACAUGCAAGUCGAACGCUCGUAGCAAUACGGGAGUGGCAGACGGGUGAGUAACACGUGGGAACAUACCCUUUGGUACGGAACAACUCGGGGAAACUCGAGCUAAUACCGUAUACGGCCGUGAGGCGAAAGAUUGAUCGCCGAAGGAUUGGCCCGCGUCCGAUUAGCUAGUUGGUGAGGUAAUGGCUCACCAAGGCGACGAUCGGUAGCUGGU